rnacentral:rRNA from 1 species
GGGGCAUGUGCACGCCCGAGCCCUUAAUCCACACACACCUGUGAACCCAUUGUAAGGGCCCUUAAAAAAGGCCUUUACGUCUUAUCAUCAACCCAUCGUAUGUCUCAUAGAAUGUAAAUAUAUGUCCUCGCCUUAAAAAGCGUUGAUAAACUUAUACAACUUUCAACAACGGAUCUCUUGGCUCUCGCAUCGAUGAAGAACGCAGCGAAAUGCGAUAAGUAAUGUGAAUUGCAGAUUUUCAGUGAAUCAUCGAAUCUUUGAACGCACCUUGCGCUCCUUGGUAUUCCGAGGAGCAUGCCUGUUUGAGUGUCAUUAAAUUCUCAACUCUGAUCGAUUUGUUUCGACUUCGGAGCUUGGAUUUGGAGCGUGCUGGCGUCGGUCGGCUCCUCUUAAAUGCAUCAGCGGAAUCUAACGUUUCGGACGUCAGUGUGAUAAUCAUGUUGCGCUGUCUGUCUGAUCUGAAAGCCCGCUCACAAUGGUCUUCGGACAACUUCAU